rnacentral:rRNA from 1 species
UGGGGAAUAUUGCACAAUGGGGAAAGCCCUGAUGCAGCGACGCCGCGUGAGUGAAGAAGUAUUUCGGUAUGUAAAGCUCUAUCAGCAGGGAAGAAAAUGACGGUACCUGACUAAGAAGCCCCGGCUAACUACGUGCCAGCAGCCGCGGUAAUACGUAGGGGGCAAGCGUUAUCCGGAUUUACUGGGUGUAAAGGGAGCGUAGACGGCAUGACAAGCCAGAUGUGAAAACCCAGGGCUCAACCCUGGGACUGCAUUUGGAACUGCCAGGCUGGAGUGCAGGAGAGGUAAGCGGAAUUCCUAGUGUAGCGGUGAAAUGCGUAGAUAUUAGGAGGAACACCAGUGGCGAAGGCGGCUUACUGGACUGUAACUGACGUUGAGGCUCGAAAGCGUGGGGAGCAAACAGGAUUAGAUACCC